rnacentral:misc_RNA from 1 species
AAGUCGUAACAAGGUCUCCGUUGGUGAACCAGCGGAGGGAUCAUUACCGAGUUUACAACUCCCAAACCCAAUGUGAACGUUACCAAACUGUUGCCUCGGCGGGAUUCUCAAGCCCCGGGCGCGUCGCAGCCCCGGACCAAGGCGCCCGCCGGAGGACCAACCAAAACUCUUUUUGUAUACCCCCUCGCGGGUUUUUUAUAAUCUGAGCCUUCUCGGCGCCUCUCGUAGGCGUUUCGAAAAUGAAUCAAAACUUUCAACAACGGAUCUCUUGGUUCUG